UAAACUUUUUUGAGAGAAAUGUAGCAUUCUAUCUUAGCUGGAAAUGUGAAUAACUAGGAUUCGAACUUGAGACCUCGGGUACCAACCAGUAAUCCCUUUGCCACUUGUACUAAGGACAAUCGAUUACAUAUAUUUAAAUUUUUUAAAUUUAAAUUUUAAGCUUUAAAAUUUUUAAUAUUUAAAUUUAAAUUUUAAAUUUAGAUAUUAAAUUUAAAUUUUUAAUUUUGAAAUAUCAAAUUUUAAGUUUCAAAUUUUAUAAUUUAAAUUUUAAAAUGUAAUAUUUAUGAUAAAAUUAAAAUUUUAAAAAUUUAAAUUAAUUAAAAAUUUUAAAUUUUAAAUUAAUUAAAAUUUUAAAAUUUUAACUUUUAAAUUUUAAUUUAUAUUUUUUAGAUUUUUAAAAUUUAAAUUCUAAAUUUUAAACUUUAACUUCAAAAUUUUAAAUUAUAAGUAUAAAAUGAGAUAUGUUAAUAAUUAUAUAUUGAUUAUUGACGGCAUUAUGCUACUCUGUUAUAUUUAGUAUUAUUUUUUAUAAAAUACUGAAAACUUUAGUAGAAUUCACUAAUUUACGUUAUUAAUUUAUCCUAUUUUACAAUAUUAAUAGUAAAUUGCUAAUAAAUUAUUAAAUUUAGUAGCAAUUAUCAAGUAAUGCUGUUAAAUAUAUUAAGCAGUAUGAUUUAAAUAAAAGUUAGGGAGUAAAUGCCACUAAAUUAUGAAUUAAUUAUAGUGAAUUUGGUGCAGAAGAAUAUUGGAUACAUUUUUCUUUAUUUUUUGGUGAAACAUGAGAAAUUGUAAUUUAACUCCCUUUAUACUCUUAUGAGUAUAACUCUCUUUAUAUUAAUAAGUUUUUGACCAUUGGAUGAAGAGAUGCAAUUAGAAUGAUAGUGCCCUCUUAGGGUUGAGUGGGUGGUUGAUUGAAUAAUAUGAUCUAACGGGUGGAAAUGAUCAAAAGGGUAGAUUUAGUGGCCAAAAAUUUAUGAAUAUAAAGGGGUCUAUACUCAUAAAAGUAUAGUAGUCAAACCCAUUUAACUAAAAUUGGUAAUAACUGAGCAAAUAAACAAAAGUUUUCAUUAGAAUUUUAGUUGCAGAUGACGCGCUUUGUCCUCCACUCUAAAUAGAUAAUAAGGCAUGUAUAUUAACACCAUAUAAUACUCAAAUUAAAAAAUUAUAACUGUAACAGAAAAAAAAAAAAAAAAAAACAUUCUCAUCUAAUAGGGCAUAUCUAUUGGGAUUAGAAAUAUAUAAGGGUAUAUCUAUUGGUAGUUUUAAGUUUUCUUCCGUUGGAUCUAUCAGUUUAACCAUUUUUACUAGUUCUAUCACAGUACUCAAUCAACCACUCACUCAACCAUAAGAACCACUACAAUCUUAACCACACAUUUUUUAAUUUAAAAGUCGAAAAUCUAUAAGCAUUAAUGAUUUGAUACUUUUAAAAAGAUAAAAGUUCAAAUUCAUAUGUAUAUGAGAAAAAUUCGG
rnacentral:lncRNA from 1 species